GGAAGCCCCAGGAAAGGCAUACCUCAAGAAUCGCACUCUAGAGGUCAGGGGUUCGAUCCCCCUCAGCUCCACCA
rnacentral:tRNA from 1 species